ACCAUGCAGUCGACGAUGAUCCCAGCUUGCUGGGGGAUUAGUGGCGAACGGGUGAGUAACACGUGAGUAACCUGCCCUUGACUCUGGGAUAAGCCUGGGAAACUGGGUCUAAUACCGGAUAUGACUCCUCAUCGCAUGGUGGGGGGUGGAAAGCUUUUGUGGUUUUGGAUGGACUCGCGGCCUAUCAGCUUGUUGGUGGGGUAAUGGCCUACCAAGGCGACGACGGGUAGCCGGCCUGAGAGGGUGACCGGCCACACUGGGACUGAGACACGGCCCAGACUCCUACGGGAGGCAGCAGUGGGGAAUAUUGCACAAUGGGCGCAAGCCUGAUGCAGCGACGCCGCGUGAGGGAUGACGGCCUUCGGGUUGUAAACCUCUUUCAGUAGGGAAGAAGCGUAAGUGACGGUACCUGCAGAAGAAGCGCCGGCUAACUACGUGCCAGCAGCCGCGGUAAUACGUAGGGCGCAAGCGUUAUCCGGAAUUAUUGGGCGUAAAGAGCUCGUAGGCGGUUUGUCGCGUCUGCUGUGAAAGACCGGGGCUCAACUCCGGUUCUGCAGUGGGUACGGGCAGACUAGAGUGCAGUAGGGGAGACUGGAAUUCCUGGUGUAGCGGUGAAAUGCGCAGAUAUCAGGAGGAACACCGAUGGCGAAGGCAGGUCUCUGGGCUGUAACUGACGCUGAGGAGCGAAAGCAUGGGGAGCGAACAGGAUUAGAUACCCUGGUAGUCCAUGCCGUAAACGUUGGGCACUAGGUGUGGGGGACAUUCCACGUUUUCCGCGCCGUAGCUAACGCAUUAAGUGCCCCGCCUGGGGAGUACGGCCGCAAGGCUAAAACUCAAAGGAAUUGACGGGGGCCCGCACAAGCGGCGGAGCAUGCGGAUUAAUUCGAUGCAACGCGAAGACCCUUACAAGGCUUGACAUGAACCGGAAAGACUUGGAAACAGGU
rnacentral:rRNA from 1 species